UCUCGAUUAUUAGAAAGGUGCUUGCAUCUUGAUUUAAUUUUGAACGAGUGGCGGACGGGUGAGUAACACGUGGGUAACCUGCCCUUAAGUGGGGGAUAACAUUUGGAAACAGAUGCUAAUACCGCAUAAAUCCAAGAACCGCAUGGUUCUUGGCUGAAAGAUGGCGUAAGCUAUCGCUUUUGGAUGGACCCGCGGCGUAUUAGCUAGUUGGUGAGGUAACGGCUCACCAAGGCAAUGAUACGUAGCCGAACUGAGAGGUUGAUCGGCCACAUUGGGACUGAGACACGGCCCAAACUCCUACGGGAGGCAGCAGUAGGGAAUCUUCCACAAUGGACGCAAGUCUGAUGGAGCAACGCCGCGUGAGUGAAGAAGGCUUUCGGGUCGUAAAACUCUGUUGUUGGAGAAGAAUGGUCGGCAGAGUAACUGUUGUCGGCGUGACGGUAUCCAACCAGAAAGCCACGGCUAACUACGUGCCAGCAGCCGCGGUAAUACGUAGGUGGCAAGCGUUAUCCGGAUUUAUUGGGCGUAAAGCGAGCGCAGGCGGUUUUUUAAGUCUGAUGUGAAAGCCCUCGGCUUAACCGAGGAAGUGCAUCGGAAACUGGGAAACUUGAGUGCAGAAGAGGACAGUGGAACUCCAUGUGUAGCGGUGAAAUGCGUAGAUAUAUGGAAGAACACCAGUGGCGAAGGCGGCUGUCUGGUCUGUAACUGACGCUGAGGCUCGAAAGCAUGGGUAGCGAACAGGAUUAGAUACCCUGGUAGUCCAUGCCGUAAACGAUGAAUGCUAGGUGUUGGAGGGUUUCCGCCCUUCAGUGCCGCAGCUAACGCAUUAAGCAUUCCGCCUGGGGAGUACGACCGCAAGGUUGAAACUCAAAGGAAUUGACGGGGGCCCGCACAAGCGGUGGAGCAUGUGGUUUAAUUCGAAGCAACGCGAAGAACCUUACCAGGUCUUGACAUCUUUUGAUCACCUGAGAGAUCAGGUUUCCCCUUCGGGGGCAAAAUGACAGGUGGUGCAUGGUUGUCGUCAGCUCGUGUCGUGAGAUGUUGGGUUAAGUCCCGCAACGAGCGCAACCCUUAUGACUAGUUGCCAGCAUUUAGUUGGGCACUCUAGUAAGACUGCCGGUGACAAACCGGAGGAAGGUGGGGAUGACGUCAAAUCAUCAUGCCCCUUAUGACCUGGGCUACACACGUGCUACAAUGGAUGGUACAACGAGUUGCGAGACCGCGAGGUCAAGCUAAUCUCUUAAAGCCAUUCUCAGUUCGGACUGUAGGCUGCAACUCGCCUACACGAAGUCGGAAUCGCUAGUAAUCGCGGAUCAGCACGCCGCGGUGAAUACGUUCCCGGGCCUUGUACACACCGCCCGUCACACCAUGAGAGUUUGUAACACCCG
rnacentral:rRNA from 2 species